rnacentral:rRNA from 1 species
UGGAUAACCUGCCCUCGGCACCGGAAUAGCCCGGGGAAACCCGGAUUAAUGCCGGAUAGCCCCACAUCCUCUCGGGGAACGUGGGAAAAGGUAGCUUCGGCCUCUGGCCGAGGAUGGGUCCGCGGUGGAUUAGCUUGUUGGCGGGGUAACGGCCCACCAAGGCGACGAUCCAUAGCUGGUCUGAGAGGACGAUCAGCCACACUGGGACUGAGACACGGCCCAGACUCCUACGGGAGGCAG